rnacentral:pre_miRNA from 1 species
ACCGUCGGCAUGAACAGGUUCGGCGACCUCAACCCCAGCGAGGUCGUCGCGCAGUUCACAGGUUCCAACAACACCGGCUUC